rnacentral:rRNA from 1 species
AGUGAACGCUGGCGGUAGGCCUAACACAUGCAAGUCGAACGGCAGCACAGUAAGAGCUUGCUCUUACGGGUGGCGAGUGGCGGACGGGUGAGGAAUACAUCGGAAUCUACUUUUUCGUGGGGGAUAACGUAGGGAAACUUACGCUAAUACCGCAUACGACCUACGGGUGAAAGCAGGGGAUCUUCGGACCUUGCGCGAUUGAAUGAGCCGAUGUCGGAUUAGCUAGUUGGCGGGGUAAAGGCCCACCAAGGCGACGAUCCGUAGCUGGUCUGAGAGGAUGAUCAGCCACACUGGAACUGAGACACGGUCCAGACUCCUACGGGAGGCAGCAGUGGGGAAUAUUGGACAAUGGGCGCAAGCCUGAUUCAGCCAUAUCGCGUGGGUGAAGAAGGCCUUCGGGUUGUAAAGCCCUUUUGUUGGGAAAGAAAAGCAGCAGGUUAAUACCCCGCUGUUCUGACGGUACCCAAAGAAUAAGCACCGGCUAACUUCGUG